rnacentral:tRNA from 1 species
GCCUGCUUGGUGAAAUGGUAGACACAACAGAUUUAAAAUCUGUCGAGGGUAACCUCGUGCCAGUUCGAGUCUGGCAGCGGGCACCA